rnacentral:rRNA from 1 species
GACGAACGCUGGCGGCGUGCUUAACACAUUUAAGUCGAACGGAAAGGCCCUGCUUUUGUGGGGUGCUCGAGUGGCGAACGGGUGAGUAACACGUGAGUAACCUGCCCUUGACUUUGGGAUAACUUCAGGAAACUGGGGCUAAUACCGGAUAGGAGCUCCUGCUGCAUGGUGGGGGUUGGAAAGUUUCGGCGGUUGGGGAUGGACUCGCGGCUUAUCAGCUUGUUGGUGGGGUAGUGGCUUACCAAGGCUUUGACGGGUAGCCGGCCUGAGAGGGUGACCGGCCACAUUGGGACUGAGAUACGGCCCAGACUCCUACGGGAGGCAGCAGUGGGGAAUAUUGCACAAUGGGCGGAAGCCUGAUGCAGCAACGCCGCGUGCGGGAUGACGGCCUUCGGGUUGUAAACCGCUUUCGCCUGUGACGAAGCGUGAGUGACGGUAAUGGGUAAAGAAGCACCGGCUAACUACGUG